rnacentral:rRNA from 1 species
AGAGUUUGAUCCUGGCUCAGGACGAACGCUGGCGGCGGGCCUAACACAUGCAAGUCAAACGAGCAGUCCUUCGGGAUGGGCGAGUGGCGCACGGGUGAGUAACACGUAGAGAAUCUACCCUUAAGUGGGGAAUAACCACUGGAAACGGUGGCUAAUACCGCAUAUUGACUUUAUAUCACAUGAUAUUUAGUUGAAAGCCUUUGGGUGCUUAAGGAUGACUCUGCGGCGGAUUAGCUAGUUGGUGAGGUAAUGGCUCACCAAGGCGACGAUCCGUAGCUGGUCUGAGAGGAUGAUCAGCCACACUGGCACUGACACACGGGCCAGACUCCUACGGGAGGCAGCAGUGAGGAAUAUUGGACAAUGGACGAAAGUCUGAUCCAGCCACGCCGCGUGCAGGAUGAAGUCCCUCUGGGGCGUAAACUGCUUUUAUAUGGGAAUAAAAAAAUGGUCGCCAUUAUUGAAGGUACCAUAUGAAUAAGCACCGGCUAACUACGUGCCAGCAGCCGCGGUAAUACGUAGGGUGCAAGCGUUGUCCGGAAUCAUUGGGUGUAAAGGGUGCGUAGGCGGAUUGGUAAGUCAGAGGUGAAAGCCCGUAGCUCAACUACGGAAUUGCCUUUGAUACUGCCAGUCUUGAGUCCUGGAGAGGUUACUGGAAUUCGUGGUGUAGCAGUGAAAUGCGUAGAUAUCACGAGGAAUACCCGAAGCGUAGGCGAGUAACUGGACAGGCACUGACGCUCAGGCACGAAAGCGUGGGGAGCAAACAGGAUUAGAUACCCUGGUAGUCCACGCUGUAAACGAUGAAUACUAGGUGUCGGAAUUUAUUCCGGUGCCGCAGCUAACGCAUUAAGUAUUCCACCUGGGGAGUACGAUCGCAAGGUUGAAACUCAAAGGAAUUGACGGGGGCCCGCACAAGCGGUGGAGCAU